rnacentral:rRNA from 1 species
UACGAAGGGGGCAAGCGUUGUUCGGAAUCAUUGGGCGUAAAGGGCGCGUAGGCGGGUUUGUAAGUCGAUUGUGAAAUCCCUAGGCUUAACCUGGGAAUGGCAGUCGAAACUGCAAGCCUUGAAUGCUCGAGAGGAUGGUGGAAUUCCUGGAGUAGUAGUGAAAUGCGUAGAUAUCUGGAGGAACACCGGUGGCGAAGGCGGCGUCCUGGACCAACACUGACACUGAGGAGCGAAAGCCAGGGGAGCAAACGGG